GGGUGUCCAGGAUAUGAUGCUCAAGCGCUUUGGGGAGCGCAACGUAGCCAACUCAGAACCGUGGAGGUUGCCCACCGUCAAGGACUGUGUCUCGGGAUCCGCUUCCCAGGUUCCCAGCACACCGUCAAGCCCCAGGGCUGAACCAGCAUCCCAGAGGAGCAGCCUUCAGCUCAGGCCUCCUGCUUCUCUCUUCAGCCAGGAGAUGGUGGGGUUAGUCUCGAACUCCUGACCUCAAGCGAUCCUUCUGCCUCAGCCUUUCAAAGCACGAGGAUGUCAGGUGUGAGCCACCACUCCUGGCCACAUAUGCUUCUCUCCAGGAACAUGGAUGAAUCUGGAGAACAUCAUUCUCAGCAAACUGACACAAGAACAGAAAAUGAAAUACCGCAUAUUCUCAUUCAUAGGCAGGACAGCAGUUUUGCCACCAUUGACAAACUCUCACUGUAAACUGCAUAUUGGAGAGCCAUGUUGCCAUACACAUCUACGAUAGUUGGAUCAGCACCAGAAUCUAUCAGAAUAUUUGCACAAGCCUCCCUCUGACAUUGUAGAGCCUGUCAGUAUUAAAGCAAGAAGUAAAUUUUAAAUUAUAGGAAAUAAAAAUAAAUAUUUCUCUGGUUUCACAAACUAGCUGUAUUUCAAUGAGUUAAGUUCAUUUUCAUUCUGUGUAUUUAAACCAAAUCCAUCUCCUGCUGAAAGCACUGGCUACUAUUUACCUCCGUCAGAGGUGUCCUGUUUUCGCCAUCACAGAUGUCAAGCAAGCAGUUCCUGUCUACCAGUAAAGUUACUACAUUCUCAUGGCCGUAGGCACAGGCCAAGUGUAGCACAGUCCUAUGAGAGCAAGAGGACCUUUUAGGAAAAUUUAGUCCACUGCCUCAAAACAUAACAAUGAUUUAUGUAACUGUAAACAUUAAAUACCAUGCUCUUUCUCUGCCUUCAAAACAAAUAUUUAAUAUUCUGCUGCAGAAAGUACGUUCAUUCGAUCUUAUAACUCAAUACCUUAAUCCAAAAGUGCCCUAUUUGAAUAGAAGGAACUUGGUCUUUGGAUUCAGUUCAACUUGGGCCUGAAUAUUACUUUAAGGUCUUUCACUUACUAGCUAUGACUUAACCUUUCUGUGCCUCAAUCUUCUCACCGACAAAGUGAGAAAGAAUACAGCAGUUAUCUCACAGGACAUCACUCUGAUGCCUCAAUGAGAAUCUAUGCGAAAUAUUUCAAAGAGUUCCUAGCACAUGUAACAGCUCAGUAAUAGUCAGAUAUUAUAAUUAUUACUACUACUUAACAAAGACAACAUUUUAAGUAAAAUGCUACAAUUAUGAUCGUUUUCUCAAUGCAGAAAUCAAAGAUAAUACAAAGAAAUAACAUUUUAUAUUAAAAAAAUGCCUCAAUAACACAUUUUAUCAUAUUUUGUACAUAAUUUCAGAUAACA